rnacentral:lncRNA from 1 species
CUCUUUUACGAGUGAAUUAUGAAUCACCUUGCAGCGCACAAUUUGGGAAGUACUGGUAUGCAUGGUAGAUAAGUUCAUAGCUUGUGGGAAAGAGGGGACAUUGAAAGAGCCGUCCGGUAGUAUAGGUGGCGAACUUGGACAAGUCGGUCUGUGUCGGCUUAUCAGUGUACAAUUAGCUUUUAUAAAGCGUCAUUUUAUUGCAGGCAAUUGAUUAGGUGUAUCGGCUGCUAUCAGUACUACUAUGGGCUUUGAGUCAAUCAUUUCGAAAGGCUAAUGUGAGAUAGCGCAAUUAGCCAAUUGAUUGUUUUGCGGUUCGGGAGUAAACCGUUCUAUUGAGCGAUAGGUAAGGUACUCACCAGAAUAUGAACGCAAUGUGUGCAGAUUAGACCUAUUAUCACCGUACCGAUGGCACCGAAAAGGAGACCAGCGUUUUUGAAGGC